UACAGAGGGGGCAAGCGUUGUUCGGAAUUACUGGGCGUAAAGGGCGCGUAGGCGGCCUUCUAAGUCGAACGUGAAAUCCCCGGGCUCAACCCGGGAACUGCGUCCGAUACUGGAAGGCUUGAAUCCGGGAGAGGGAUGUGGAAUUCCAGGUGUAGCGGUGAAAUGCGUAGAUAUCUGGAGGAACACCGGUGGCGAAGGCGGCCUGCUGGGCGGCGACUGACGCUGAGGCGCGACAGCGUGGGGAGCAAACAGG
rnacentral:rRNA from 1 species